rnacentral:misc_RNA from 1 species
GAUGAAGAACGCAGCAAAAUGCGAUAAGUAAUGUGAAUUGCAGAAUUCAGUGAAUCAUCGAAUCUUUGAACGCACAUUGCGCCCGCCAGUAUUCUGGCGGGCAUGCCUGUUCGAGCGUCAUUUCAACCCUCAAGCCCCCGGGUUUGGUGUUGGGGAUCGGGCUGUACUCCAGCCCGGCCCCGAAAUCUAGUGGCGGUCUCGCUGCAGCCUCCAUUGCGUAGUAGCUAACACCUCGCAACUGGAACGCGGCGCGGCCAAGCCGUUAAACCCCCAACUUCUGAAUGUUGACCUCGGAUCAGGUAGGAAUACCCGCUGAACUUAAGCAUAUCAUAAGCGGAGGA